rnacentral:rRNA from 1 species
UACAGAGGUCCCAAGCGUUGUUCGGAUUCACUGGGCGUAAAGGGUGCGUAGGCGGUUUGAUAAGUCUGAUGUGAAAUCCCGCAGCUUAACUGCGGAACUGCAUUGGAUACUGUUUGACUAGAGGAAUGGAGGGGAGACUGGAAUACUUGGUGUAGCAGUGAAAUGCGUAGAUAUCAAGUGGAACACCAGUGGCGAAGGCGAGUCUCUGGACAUUUCCUGACGCUGAGGCACGAAAGCCAGGGGAGCAAGCGGG